CCGGCUCUCCGGUGGUGGGAGGACAGGGUUCUGCGGUGCCCUUUGUCGACCCCGCUGUGCAGGGCAGGGAAGGUCAGGAUCGCGAAGAGCCAAGUUCGAGCUCCGAUAACUCUCCGUGCCCAUAGAGGGUGGGGCGGGGAGGCGUGACUGCCCUUGAUGAUGGUGAGGGGAGAGAGGGAGCGCUGCACCUCUGGGGAAAACAAGUCAGCUCUGUCGUGGAGCUAGUGUAGGCGUUCAGAGCGCCUUUUGCAAUUAUUCUGCCCCCAGACUGCCUGGAAUCCAGCCCGUCCUUCCUAUCGCACUGCUACAGCCCUAGAUACCUUUUGUCCCAAGCUGUGCAAGUGUCUCUUCCCUGGGCUUGCCUCGCCUAUUCUCAGUGCUGCGGACCUGAUGAAUUACUGUCCGUUCUCUGCUGAGAAGCCCAGACAGCAUCUCGUCUUUGAGAUUCCACUUCCUUCACAUGGAGUCGUGUCCCCCGCCCCCCGACCCCAAAGCCGCCUGGGUUCCAGUUAGCCUUGCCGAAGACUUGCUCUGCUUGGCAUGCCCUUCCUCUCAAUGUUUUAUCUUCUAUGAAGCUUCACCCUCAAACCCUGAGACAUUUAUUACAAAAUCAUUUCUCGUGGAACAAGAACAUGUACUUUCAUGGUGCAAGGCUGCCUGAUGUUUCCCAGGUUUCAAUGGCCCAGGCAGAUAAUGGAAACUCAGCAAGGUCAGAAGAAAGAAGAACAGAUCUAUCCUUAAGUAGGAAAAAUAACCGUGUUCCAAGUAUACAGAACGGGAACAAAUGAAGUAUUUCUGAGCUGUCUCCUUGAUGGCCUCAUAGAAACAGGAAAACAGCUUCGUGCCUCUGCAGUGCUCUCUUGAGUUUGUGGGAUUCCCGCUGUGGCACACUGGAUUGGUCCUGCUGAGAAAGUUUACUGAGUAAGCCUUGAUUUCUCCAGUGAUAACCUACCGUUUAUCAGGUGCCUAAUGUGUCUUAUUCAUGUAUGUAGUCUACUGGGGGGAAAUUUGGCAUAGCUUCUGUUUGUCUUUCAGGAAAGCCAAUUUUUGUGGUUAAGUAUAUGUGUGUCUGUGUGUUUAAUAUCCUAGCUUAUAACAGAAAUUCUUCUCUGAAGCUAAAAUGAUUCUUCAUGGUUCCACUGUAACCUUAAACUCUCAUAGCAUAUAUGAAUACUUUCUUGAAGCUAAGAAAUAUGUCUCCUUGAGCUAGCAGAUUCGUUUUUAAUUUGGGAUGUUUUCUUUAAAGAUUAAAUAUUCUGCAUUUUUGGGGAUUGAAGUUAUAGUUUUAAAAUGUGUUCCCAAAUUGCAUUGCCAAUUCAAGUCUGGCAAUAGUUCAAGUGGGCUGUAAAAAACAGAUGAAAAGGUUUGGAAGCAUGUGUUGCUGUUAAGGGCAAUGGGGCUGGAAGGGCUCUAAGUAAAGAGCGUUUCAGAACAGCUAUAUGUCUGGGAGUAAAAUCUUGGAAUCCAAGGUGAAAUGCUGACUAGACUGCUUGUGUGAUGCUGUAUUGGAUAAAGACAGGCAGCCAUGUACUUGGGAAGGCGAGUGCAGCGAUGUUCAUCAUUAACUUGAGAACAGGGCUCUUCUCUGUGGAAAGGUUGCUUUGGUGAGCUCAACGUGCAGCUAAAAUAGGAAUAUCCAGUGAGUGCUGGAGGUGGAAGUUAGGAUGUGGCUGCCAAACGGUUCGUAUCUUUGAGAUGACCAGAAAAAUCGUGCAAUGGCAGAAGACCCAGACAGAUGUCCUUCUAAUUCAAAGACUAUUCUGGCUAUCUGUUGCUGGCUAUCAAACCACCCCACUAC
ensembl:lncRNA